GAUCAGGUGGCCGAGUGGUUAAGGCGCUGGACUGCUAAUCCAUUGGGGUUUCCCCGCGCGAGUUCGAAUCUCAGCCUGAUCG
rnacentral:tRNA from 1 species